CAGCAGCAGCCGCGGGAAUACGGAGGGUGCAAGCGUUAUCCGGAUUUAUUGGGUUUAAAGGGUCCGUAGGCGGAUCUGUAAGUCAGUGGUGAAAUCUCACAGCUUAACUGUGAAACUGCCAUUGAUACUGCAGGUCUUGAGUAAAUUUGAAGUGGCUGGAAUAAGUAGUGUAGCGGUGAAAUGCAUAGAUAUUACUUAGAACACCAAUUGCGAAGGCAGGUCACUAAGAUUUAACUGACGCUGAUGGACGAAAGCGUGGGGAGCGAACAGGAUUAGAUACCCCAGUAGUCCCUGUCUCUUAUAC
rnacentral:rRNA from 1 species